CAGGUGUUGGGAGAAGUGACGCAAGACCCUGGAAGAAGGCCAACGUAUAAAACCCCAAGUCAAAAGGUCAAGCUGUGCAUUUGUCUUUCAAGUUUUCUGCUUUGCUGUCUUCCAAGUGCACCUUCCUUUCAUUCCUGCUGUAAAACUUGCCUCAGUCUUUCCUGCCUGAUACCCCUCAAGCAAAUGCCUCCUUCUUCUGAGGAGGCAAGAAUUGAGGUUGCUGCAGACCUGAUAUGGAUUUUCCACCGCUAACAUAUUUUGGUGCUGUGUGACUCAGAUAAGGAAAUUGAGGCUCAGUGUUGGCAGGUAACAUGUUCAAGAUCUUGAAACUAGCAGGUGGCAGAGCUGGGGUUCAUCUGUCUCCAUGUGCUCAGAGAUAAAGAGAAGAGAAUCUUCUCUCAAGAAUUCCUGUGCCCACAGGGAAAGGUUCAUAGUUCAUCUCAUCCUCAGGGGAAUUACUGAAAACAUUAUUGAUGAAAACACAAAGUUGAGUUCAAAAUAAAUGAUUUACCAACUCAAGAUAAACAACAACAACGACAACAAAACCAACCACAAUGGAUG
rnacentral:lncRNA from 1 species